rnacentral:lncRNA from 1 species
GAAUGGUCUGCUUGGAACCUGAGCAGCACUGACUUCUGAGGAAGACUGAGAUGGAGACACCCGCCAGUGUCCUGUCGCUCCCGCAGUCUGAACUUCCCAACAGUCCAUCUCCUUUGGUUUACAAAGUCUUUGUAAAGUCAACAUCCUUCCUAUCAGAAUGGCCUGCACCUCGUCUCUGGGACUCGGGUUUACUUGCAGAGAUCUUCUGGGGAAGACAACCUUCUUUUUGAUCCUUUGGCACAAAGGCAGGAGGCCCAUGGCCUUCCUCCUGGUCACUUGACUUGAGGAGAGCUGUCCCCCUUCGAGCUUUAGGGAGAUGACCCAGACAGUGAAGUACUACUUGGCAUAACAACACGAGGAUCUGAGUUCAAACUGAAGCACCGUGAGAAUGAAGAAAAAAGCUCUGUCUUGUGGCCUGCAACCUCAGGGACAGGGAAGCAGACGGAAGGAGCCCAGCCAGUCUAGCAAAACAACAAGCUCAAGGUUCAAGCCUACAAACAGAAGUGAAGCAGUGGUGGGGCAGCAUCAAUAAAGGUAGCAGAGGAAAGAAAGAAAAAGGAACCAUCGGCUACUAAAAGUGUCACAUUAAAUGUCACAGGGACUGUGUUAAAUUG